rnacentral:rRNA from 1 species
UACAUGGGGUGCAAACGUUGCUCGGAAUCAUUGGGCGUAAAGCGCGCGUAGGCGGUUGCUUAAGUCGGAUGUGAAAGCCCUCGGCUUAACUGAGGAAGUGCAUCCGAAACUGAGCAGCUAGAGUAUGAAAGAGGGUCGCGGAAUUCCCGGUGUAGAGGUGAAAUUCGUAGAUAUCGGGAGGAACACCGGUGGCGAAGGCGGCGACCUGGGUCGAGACUGACGCUGAGGCGCGAAAGCGUGGGGAGCAAACAGG